GAUGAACGCUAGCGGCAGGCUUAACACAUGCAAGUCGAGGGGCAGCAUGACACGGAGAUUCGUCGAAGUGUUGAUGGCGACCGGCGCAAGGGUGCGUAACGCGUGAGCAACUUGCCCGUUUCUGGGGAAUAACCGGUGGAAACGCCGACUAAUACCCCAUAGUAUAACGAAGAGGCAUCUUUUUGUUAUUAAAGAACUUCGGAAACGGAUAGGCUCGCGUGACAUUAGCUAGAUGGCGGGGUAACGGCCCACCAUGGCGACGAUGUCUAGGGGUUCUGAGAGGAAGGUCCCCCACACUGGAACUGAGACACGGUCCAGACUCCUACGGGAGGCAGCAGUGAGGAAUAUUGGUCAAUGGGCGAGAGCCUGAACCAGCCAAGUAGCGUGAAGGAAGACUGCCCUAUGGGUUGUAAACUUCUUUUGUUCGGGAAUAAAGUGCAGUACGCGUACUGUUUUGUAUGUACCGUUCGAAUAAGCAUCGGCUAAUUCCGUGCCAGCAGCCGCGGU
rnacentral:rRNA from 1 species